GUAGCGACUGCUGAGCCCUGGUCUAGCAGCACCGUGUCUGUCCCUUCUGCCCACGGUGGGUCCUGUCUCCUGGAUUCUCCGCCUGCCUGCACAUUCAGCUAUGGAUUCACCAGUGGAUUACCCACUUAAGAUCCUAUCACCUUCCCAAAGCCCCACCUCUGGACACGUAAGACUUUGACAUUCUAGAUGUCAGCCGCAAGAGGAACAGAUACGAGCACAGAAGAAGCCUACAUAAGGACACCAGGAGGAGAAGGCCACCACCCACAAGUCCAGUGGUAGAAGUCAACCCUGUAGACACCUUGCUCUCAGAUGUCCAGGCUGUGGAGCUGGAAGGGAAUGCAUCUCUGUUGAAGCUACCUGGCCAGGACAUUUUGUUACAGCAGUGCUUUCAAACUAAUACAGUCCACUGUUAGCAUUUUUUUCUUUCUCAAAAUGACUUUGGCUAUUCUAGGUCUUUUGCAUUUUCAGCUACAAAUAUAGUAGCAAAUUAUCAUUUUCUACAUAAAAUCUACUGGGGGUUUGGAGAUUGUUUGGAAUCUAUGUUUUCAUUUUGGAAGAACAAACACCUUAACCAAGUUGAUCUUCCAACUGCUAAACAUGAUGUAGCUCUCCAUUUAAUUAGGUUGUUUUAAAUUUCUUUCAUCAGUGAAUUACAGCUUUCAAACUGGUCUUUCACGUCUGUCAUUACGUACAUGUAUUCCUUAGUAUUUAAAACAUUCUAGGUAUUUUGAUACUACUAGAAAUGCUGUUUUAAAACUUCAUUUUCCAGCUACCACUUAGAAAUAUAAUUUUUGUGACCUUGUAUCCUGUAAUGUUGAUAAAUCUUUCUUAUUCUAUUUAUAAAAGUACCUUAGAGGGCAUCCCACUUGGCCCCCCUUCUAUCCCUCUCUUGGACAGGGAAGCUUCCUUUCCCCCAAUAAAUAUAUUCUGCUCUUUAAAAAAAAAACCUUAGAGUCCUCUGUGUAGACAAUUGUACCCACAAAUAAAGAAACUUUUACUAUUU